GGCGCUGUGCGGCAGAGCACGUGGUUAUGGGUGACGCUUUAUCGCUGCGACUUCCUGUUCUUUGAUCAGUCGCCCUCGGCCGGUACCACGCACCGGAUCGGGUGCUCCCUCUGCAAGGAUGGGGCAUCAUCUCCGGGACGUUCCCUGAGGCGGGAGCCGGCAUGCUGGUGGGAUCCAGUGGCUGCCGUUAGGAUGGAUCGCUCGUCGGGCUGAUGCAUGGAAGAGUCCUCUGGAAGACGGGGAGAUGCUCCGCUCUGAUACACGGCAGAGAUUCAUGAGAAA